rnacentral:rRNA from 1 species
AAGAGACAGCAGUAGCCGCGGUAAUACAGAGGGUGCGAGCGUUAAUCGGAUUUACUGGGCGUAAAGCGUGCGUAGGCGGCUUCUUAAGCCGGAUGUGAAAUCCCUGAGCUUAACUUAGGAAUUGCAUUCGAUACUGGGAAGCUAGAGUAUGGGAGAGGAUGGUAGAAUUCCAGGUGUAGCGGUGAAAUGCGUAGAGAUCUGGAGGAAUACCGAUGGCGAAGGCAGCCAUCUGGCCUAAUACUGACGCUGAGGUACGAAAGCAUGGGGAGCAAACAGGAUUAGAUACCCCGUAGUCCCUGUCUCUUAUACA